rnacentral:rRNA from 1 species
UAGGGAAUCUUCCGCAAUGGACGCAAGUCUGACGGAGCAACGCCGCGUGAGUGAUGAAGGUUUUCGGAUCGUAAAGCUCUGUUGCCAGGGAAGAAUAAAGGCGAGAGUAACUGCUCGUCUGAUGACGGUACCUGAGAAGAAAGCCCCGGCUAACUACGUGCCAGCAGCCGCGGUAAUACGUAGGGGGCAAGCGUUGUCCGGAAUUAUUGGGCGUAAAGCGCGCGCAGGCGGUUUUUUAAGUCCGAUGUAUAAGCCCGGGGCUCAACCCCGGGAGGCAUGGGAAACUGGGAGGCUUGAGUACAGAAGAGGAGAGUGGAAUUCCACGUGUAGCGGUGAAAUGCGUAGAGAUGUGGAGGAACACCAGUGGCGAAGGCGACUCUCUGGUCUGUAACUGACGCUGAGGCGCGAAAGCGUGGGGAGCAAACAG